AUUGAACGCUGGCGGCAGGCCUAACACAUGCAAGUCGAGCGGAUGAAGGGAGCUUGCUCCUGGAUUCAGCGGCGGACGGGUGAGUAAUGCCUAGGAAUCUGCCUGGUAGUGGGGGAUAACGUCCGGAAACGGGCGCUAAUACCGCAUACGUCCUGAGGGAGAAAGUGGGGGAUCUUCGGACCUCACGCUAUCAGAUGAGCCUAGGUCGGAUUAGCUAGUUGGUGGGGUAAAGGCCUACCAAGGCGACGAUCCGUAACUGAUCUGAGAGGAUGAUCAGUCACACUGGAACUGAGACACGGUCCAGACUCCUACGGGAGGCAGCAGUGGGGAAUAUUAGACAAUGGGCGAAAGCCUGAUCCAGCCAUGCCGCGUGUGUGAAGAAGGUCUUCGGAUUGUAAAGCACUUUAAGUGGGGAGGAAGGGCAGUAAGUUAAUACCUUGCUGUUUUGACGUUACCAACAGAAUAAGCACCGGCUAACUUCGUG
rnacentral:rRNA from 1 species